AUUGAACGCUGGCGGCAUGCCUUACACAUGCAAGUCGAACGGCAGCACGGGAGCAAUCCUGGGUGGCGAGUGGCGAACGGGUGAGUAAUAUAUCGGAACGUGCCCAGUCGUGGGGGAUAACGUAGCGAAAGCUACGCUAAUACCGCAUACGAUCUAUGGAUGAAAGCGGGGGAUCGCAAGACCUCGCGCGAUUGGAGCGGCCGAUAUCAGAUUAGGUAGUUGGUGAGGUAAAGGCUCACCAAGCCGACGAUCUGUAGCUGGUCUGAGAGGACGACCAGCCACACUGGGACUGAGACACGGCCCAGACUCCUACGGGAGGCAGCAGUGGGGAAUUUUGGACAAUGGGCGCAAGCCUGAUCCAGCAAUGCCGCGUGCAGGAUGAAGGCCUUCGGGUUGUAAACUGCUUUUGUACGGAACGAAACGGUGAGCUCUAAUACAGUUUGCUAAUGACGGUACCGUAAGAAUAAGCACCGGCUAACUACGUG
rnacentral:rRNA from 1 species